GUUGGACAGAGAGAAAGGGAGCCUCGUUCAGCUCUUCCCCUCCACGUUUCCAUCAUGCAAAGGGCAACUCCUCCAAGAACAUCUCCUCAGACCUUCAAGAGAGAGAACCCAGGCCAUAAAUCGUCACUCACCCUUCUCUCCUCACCUUUCCUCUCGUCCCUGGACACACCAGUCUGUUUACGAGCCUAAAAACACCUAGUUAGAGACCUCCAAUCAAAAAACUUUCUUCACCAAAGUUGUUCGUCUAUGUCUCCUCUAUUUAGUCUCAAAAUUUCAGCUCCAUCGGAGUCGAUUUGAGUCCUGUACAUCCCUCGAAGCGGAAGCUGUUCCGGAGCAAACCUAUUCCGGAUUUCUGCUUGAAUUCCCUCUCUUGCUCUACCCGAAUCCCCAACACCUUGCUUGAGACUGAUACCAACAGUUGUCUCUGUUUCACUUUGCAUGUUCGAGAUUGAGCAAACUUCUUGGCCUGUGGCUGGACUCGAUCCAAUCAGCUCCUUCAGCUCUCUUUCCUGUUGAAAUCCUCAAGAGAAGCUCAUCUUUUUUUUGUUAGUUUUUGGAUCUUGUGAAGUGGUGGUUGCUACAAGAUUGCAUUGAGGCCAAGUGCUGCAAGAGAAAGCUCGAGUUCCAGGUAGGGGAUGCCUUUAACUCUAUCUAUGCUUUUCUUGCAUAUACAAUGUUUUAUAUGAGGCCUCUUGCAUGUUUUGGAAAUUAUCUGUUUUUACAACUUGAAAUGGUUUGCCUGGAUUGGUUUGAUGUGUUGGCAAUUGAUGGGGAUGUAAGGAGAGGUCAGUUCCUCCUUGAGCCACCGGUGGUGGGCAGUGUGCACCAUGCCCUUGUUAUCUCCCCUUUGUCUCUAGCCUUGUGAUUAAUGAAUUCCGGAAAGUGAAUGGCUAGAUGGACGGUUGUGAUGGAAGUGUAAAAGAUGAUCAAUUGCCGUGGGAUUGUAGUUACGUGGUGACGAUCACGUGGAAGCGCAAACCGGUUUUAUCUACUUCUUUUAUUCAAAACAAUAACUCAUGUUUUCAAACUUAGAUAUGGGGGCGGGCAUGGGCAAUGACUGGAUGUAGGAGCCUAACCCCUACUUUAGUUUGUUUUGCAGGCUGUUGUUGUCGAAGCAUGGGCACGGAGGAUAAUCCUUGGAGGACACAAUUCGUUUUACUCUAUUUAAAGUUUAUUUCUUUUUGGCUUGCUUGAUCUCACUAAAUUUUUGUAACAUUA